UCAUUCUGCAUACUGCAAGUCAGUUGGCUAACAAGGCAGUUAAAGGAAAACAGGACAACAGAAGGAUGCUCAUUCAGAGAGUUGCCACCCAAAAAAGAAAGAAGACAAAAGGAUUUCAUCAACUGCCAAGGUACUGAAACGUGGUUCAUGCUUUCUGUCAACCUUGGUCUAUGAGACAGACCAGUUUGAUAAGCUGCUGAAGAAAGAAACUGCAGGUCUACAGAGAAUGGAUAGAGGAGCAGAGAGUCUGCAUGGAAACAACAUGGGAGGCAGGUGGUGGAAUUUGAAUUCAAUAAUAUAUCUGGAAUUACGAAUCUAGUGAUGACCAUGAAUCCAUUG